rnacentral:rRNA from 1 species
UACGAAGGGGGCUAGCGUUGCUCGGAAUCACUGGGCGUAAAGGGUGCGUAGGCGGCUUUGUAAGUUAGAGGUGAAAGCCCGGAGCUCAACUCCGGAACUGCCUUUAAGACUGCAUCGCUAGAAUUGUGGAGAGGUGAGUGGAAUUCCGAGUGUAGAGAUGAAAUUCGUAGAUAUUCGGAAGAACACCAGUGGCGAAGGCGACUCACUGGACACAUAUUGACGCUGAGGUGCGAAAGCGUGGGGAGCAAACAGG